rnacentral:rRNA from 1 species
UUUAGGUCGACCCGCUGAACUUAAGCAUAUCAAUAAGCGGAGGAAAAGAAACUAACAAGGAUUCCUUUAGUAGCGGCGAGCGAACAAGGAUUAGCCCAGCACCGAAUCCUAUGACUAACGUCAUUAGGAAAUGUGGUGUUCGGAUCAAGUCUUAUGGCAUACAGGAGUUGUUCCAAGUCCACGUGAUUGUGGCUUAAAGUCCACAGAGGGUGUAAGUCCCGUAUGAACAAUACUGUAUGUUUAGGAUUUGCUCCUAGAGUCGGGUUGUUUGGGAUUGCAGCCCAAAUCGGGUGGUAAACUCCAUCCAAGGCUAAAUACAACACGAGUCNNNNNAGCGAACAAGUACCAUGAGGGAAAGUUGAAAAGAACUUUGAAGAGAGAGUUCAAUAGUGCGUGAAACCACUCAAAGGUAACCAGGCAGAACUGAAUGAAGAGUUGCAUAUUUGUACUUUGUUAAGUUUAAUGCAUGCCUUGAAGACAUUGUCGUGCUUCGGGUAUACAGAUGCGAUUUGACAUUGUGCUAUUGUGUGACUCUGACACCAUGAUCGAUCAUGUAGCUAGCCUCCAGGCCUGCAAGCUGCCAAAUCAUGUUGUGUGGUUUGGUUUUAUAAGCUUUUCUGUGAGUGCUGACUGAGAAUCGAUAAGCGACGCUAGCCAUUGCUACAAUAAAGACACAUUGUUGUGUGAAGAUGAGAUAUUAACUCAUUGAGAGUUGGUAAUUCAUUCCGAGCAUGAUAAUGUAUCCUCUGAUUGUUGCGUCAAAAAUCCAUGGUGCAAUUGUAGGUAUUCUGCCUGACCCGUCUUGAAACACGGACCAAGGAGUUUAACAUGUGCGCGAGUCAUUGGGUGUUACGAAACCUAAAGGCGCAGUGAAAGUAAAGGUUGGAUUAUUCCAGCUUAGGUGGGAUCUUGGCUUUCAAUGUGUGGCUAUCCAUACAUGGGCUAGGCGCACCACCAGCUCGUCCUAUGCUUUAUCAAGUGGGGCGACGCAAGAGCGCACAUGUUGAGACCCGAAAGAUGGUGAACUAUGCUUGUGUAGGUUGAAGCCAGAGGAAACUCUGGUGGAGGACCGUAGCGAUUCUGACGUGCAAAUCGAUCGUCAAACAUGAGUAUAGGGGCGAAAGACUAAUCGAACCAUCUAGUAGCUGGUUCCCUCCGAAGUUUCCCUCAGGAUAGCUGGCAUUCGGGAAACAAACAGUUUUAUCCGGUAAAGCGAAUGAUUAGCAGUAUUGUGGGAUAAUAUAUCCUCAAAUGAUUCUCAAACUUUAAAUGGGUGAGAUGCUCAACUCUCUUAAAUCAUGGAGUUGGGCUUUUGAAUGUGAGUGCCUAGUGGGCCAUUUUUGGUAAGCAGAACUGGCGAUGUGGGAUGAACCAAACGUCUGGUUACGGAGCCGAACAUAACGCUCAUGAGAUACCACAAAAGGUGUUGGUUGAUUUUGACAGCAGGACGGUGGCCAUGGAAGUCGGAAUCCGCUAAGGAGUGUGUAACAACUCACCUGCCGAAUCAACCAGCCCUGAAAAUGGAUGGCGCUCGAGCGUUGGUCCUAUACCAGACCGUUACCACGAGAUGUAUGCAAAGUAAGUGGUAACGUGUAGGAGGGCACCGUAAUGAGCGUUGAAGCUUUGACCGUAAGGUUGGGUGGAGCCAUUACGGGUGCAGAUCUUGGUGGUAGUAGCAAAUAUUCAAGUGAGAACCUUGAAGACUGAAGUGGAGAAGGGUUC